GGGUCGUUAGCUCAGCGGUAGAGCAGGUGACUCUUAAUCACUUGGUCCAGGGUUCGAAUCCCUGACGGCCCA
rnacentral:tRNA from 2 species